GGUUAAGCGACUAAGCGUACACGGUGGAUGCCCUGGCAGUCAGAGGCGAUGAAGGACGUGCUAAUCUGCGAUAAGCGUCGGUAAGGUGAUAUGAACCGUUAUAACCGGCGAUUUCCGAAUGGGGAAACCCAGUGUGAUUCGUCACACUAUCAUUAACUGAAUCCAUAGGUUAAUGAGGCGAACCGGGGGAACUGAAACAUCUAAGUACCCCGAGGAAAAGAAAUCAACCGAGAUUCCCCCAGUAGCGGCGAGCGAACGGGGAGCAGCCCAGAGCCUGAAUCAGUGUGUGUGUUAGUGGAAGCGUCUGGAAAGGCGCGCGAUACAGGGUGACAGCCCCGUACACAAAAAUGCACAUGCUGUGAGCUCGAUGAGUAGGGCGGGACACGUGGUAUCCUGUCUGAAUAUGGGGGGACCAUCCUCCAAGGCUAAAUACUCCUGACUGACCGAUAGUGAACCAGUACCGUGAGGGAAAGGCGAAAAGAACCCCGGCGAGGGGAGUGAAAAAGAACCUGAAACCGUGUACGUACAAGCAGUGGGAGCACGCUUAGGCGUGUGACUGCGUACCUUUUGUAUAAUGGGUCAGCGACUUAUAUUCUGUAGCAAGGUUAACCGAAUAGGGGAGCCGAAGGGAAACCGAGUCUUAACUGGGCGUUAAGUUGCAGGGUAUAGACCCGAAACCCGGUGAUCUAGCCAUGGGCAGGUUGAAGGUUGGGUAACACUAACUGGAGGACCGAACCGACUAAUGUUGAAAAAUUAGCGGAUGACUUGUGGCUGGGGGUGAAAGGCCAAUCAAACCGGGAGAUAGCUGGUUCUCCCCGAAAGCUAUUUAGGUAGCGCCUCGUGAAUUCAUCUCCGGGGGUAGAGCACUGUUUCGGCAAGGGGGUCAUCCCGACUUACCAACCCGAUGCAAACUGCGAAUACCGGAGAAUGUUAUCACGGGAGACACACGGCGGGUGCUAACGUCCGUCGUGAAGAGGGAAACAACCCAGACCGCCAGCUAAGGUCCCAAAGUCAUGGUUAAGUGGGAAACGAUGUGGGAAGGCCCAGACAGCCAGGAUGUUGGCUUAGAAGCAGCCAUCAUUUAAAGAAAGCGUAAUAGCUCACUGGUCGAGUCGGCCUGCGCGGAAGAUGUAACGGGGCUAAACCAUGCACCGAAGCUGCGGCAGCGACACUAUGUGUUGUUGGGUAGGGGAGCGUUCUGUAAGCCUGUGAAGGUGUACUGUGAGGUAUGCUGGAGGUAUCAGAAGUGCGAAUGCUGACAUAAGUAACGAUAAAGCGGGUGAAAAGCCCGCUCGCCGGAAGACCAAGGGUUCCUGUCCAACGUUAAUCGGGGCAGGGUGAGUCGACCCCUAAGGCGAGGCCGAAAGGCGUAGUCGAUGGGAAACAGGUUAAUAUUCCUGUACUUGGUGUUACUGCGAAGGGGGGACGGAGAAGGCUAUGUUGGCCGGGCGACGGUUGUCCCGGUUUAAGCGUGUAGGCUGGUUUUCCAGGCAAAUCCGGAAAAUCAAGGCUGAGGCGUGAUGACGAGGCACUACGGUGCUGAAGCAACAAAUGCCCUGCUUCCAGGAAAAGCCUCUAAGCAUCAGGUAACAUCAAAUCGUACCCCAAACCGACACAGGUGGUCAGGUAGAGAAUACCAAGGCGCUUGAGAGAACUCGGGUGAAGGAACUAGGCAAAAUGGUGCCGUAACUUCGGGAGAAGGCACGCUGAUAUGUAGGUGAAGUCCCUCGCGGAUGGAGCUGAAAUCAGUCGAAGAUACCAGCUGGCUGCAACUGUUUAUUAAAAACACAGCACUGUGCAAACACGAAAGUGGACGUAUACGGUGUGACGCCUGCCCGGUGCCGGAAGGUUAAUUGAUGGGGUCAGCGCAAGCGAAGCUCUUGAUCGAAGCCCCGGUAAACGGCGGCCGUAACUAUAACGGUCCUAAGGUAGCGAAAUUCCUUGUCGGGUAAGUUCCGACCUGCACGAAUGGCGUAAUGAUGGCCAGGCUGUCUCCACCCGAGACUCAGUGAAAUUGAACUCGCUGUGAAGAUGCAGUGUACCCGCGGCAAGACGGAAAGACCCCGUGAACCUUUACUAUAGCUUGACACUGAACAUUGAGCCUUGAUGUGUAGGAUAGGUGGGAGGCUUUGAAGUGUGGACGCCAGUCUGCAUGGAGCCGACCUUGAAAUACCACCCUUUAAUGUUUGAUGUUCUAACGUGGACCCGUAAUCCGGGUUGCGGACAGUGUCUGGUGGGUAGUUUGACUGGGGCGGUCUCCUCCUAAAGAGUAACGGAGGAGCACGAAGGUUGGCUAAUCCUGGUCGGACAUCAGGAGGUUAGUGCAAUGGCAUAAGCCAGCUUGACUGCGAGCGUGACGGCGCGAGCAGGUGCGAAAGCAGGUCAUAGUGAUCCGGUGGUUCUGAAUGGAAGGGCCAUCGCUCAACGGAUAAAAGGUACUCCGGGGAUAACAGGCUGAUACCGCCCAAGAGUUCAUAUCGACGGCGGUGUUUGGCACCUCGAUGUCGGCUCAUCACAUCCUGGGGCUGAAGUAGGUCCCAAGGGUAUGGCUGUUCGCCAUUUAAAGUGGUACGCGAGCUGGGUUUAGAACGUCGUGAGACAGUUCGGUCCCUAUCUGCCGUGGGCGCUGGAGAAUUGAGGGGGGCUGCUCCUAGUACGAGAGGACCGGAGUGGACGCAUCACUGGUGUUCGGGUUGUCAUGCCAAUGGCACUGCCCGGUAGCUAAAUGCGGAAGAGAUAAGUGCUGAAAGCAUCUAAGCACGAAACUUGCCCCGAGAUGAGUUCUCCCUGACUCCUUGAGAGUCCUGAAGGAACGUUGAAGACGACGACGUUGAUAGGCCGGGUGUGUAAGCGCAGCGAUGCGUUGAGCUAACCGGUACUAAUGAACCGUGAGGCUUAACCUU
rnacentral:rRNA from 1 species